AACAUCCUCUCAUGUAAGGUGGUUUGUGAUGAAAAUGGUUCCAAGGGCUAUGGAUUUGUACACUUUGAGACACAGGAAGCAGCUGAAAGAGCUAUUGAAAAAAUGAAUGGGAUGCUUCUAAAUGAUCGCAAAGUAUUUGUUGGACGAUUUAAGUCUCGUAAAGAAAGAGAAGCAGAACUCGGAGCUAGGGGCAAAA